AGAUGGUUACCCAAGAGGCUUAAGGGGCUGCUCUGCUAAAGCAGUAGGCGUAACGAAGUGCGUUGCGUGCGAGGGUUCGAAUCCACCACCAUCCGCCA
rnacentral:tRNA from 1 species